GACGAACGCUGGCGGCGUGCUUAACACAUGCAAGUGGAGCGACGAACCGGGGCUUGCCCCGGGGCAGAGCCGCGAACGGGUGAGUAACACGUGGGUAACCCACCCCGAUGACCGGGACAACCCGAGGAAACUCGGGCUAAUACCGGAUGUGCUCCUUGACCUUGAGGUCAAGGCGUAAAGAUAGCUUCGGCCUUCGCAUCGGGACGGGCCCGCGGCCCAUUAGCUUGUUGGUGGGGUAAAGGCCUACCAAGGCGACGANGGGUAGCUGGUCUGAGAGGACGAUCAGCCACACUGGGACUGAGACACGGCCCAGACUCCUACGGGAGGCAGCAGUGGGGAAUCUUGCGCAAUGCGCGAAAGCGUGACGCAGCAACGCCGCGUGGGGGAAGAC
rnacentral:rRNA from 1 species